UACGGGGGGAGCAAGCGUUGUUCGGAUUUACUGGGCGUAAAGGGCGCGUAGGCGGCCGCCGCAAGUCGACUGUGAAAUCUCUGGGCUUAACCCAGAAAGGUCAGCCGAUACUGCGGGGCUAGAGUGCAGAAGGGGCAACUGGAAUUCUCGGUGUAGCGGUGAAAUGCGUAGAUAUCGAGAGGAACACCUGCGGCGAAGGCGGGUUGCUGGGCUGACACUGACGCUGAGGCGCGAAAGCUAGGGGAGCGAACGGG
rnacentral:rRNA from 1 species